rnacentral:misc_RNA from 1 species
GUUCAUCAGCAUGUCGUGAAGUCCCCUUUGUACUUGGAUAUGACGGUGGGGACUUCAUUGAUUAGCAUGUAUAGCAAGUGUGGAGUUUUGGAGGAUGCUUGGAAAUUGUUUGUUGAGAUGCCAAGAAAGGACGUUGUCACUUGGAAUGCCAUGAUUUCAGGGUAUGCUCAACACGGGGAAAGCAAGAAGGCCCUUAGCUUGUUUGAUGAGAUGAGGCGUAAAGGAAU